rnacentral:rRNA from 1 species
CCUGGCUCAGGAUUAUAUACCCUGGGAGUCAUGAGUUUGAACCUCGCGUCGGGAACGUGCCCUUCUCUACGGAAUAGUGCCCGGGAAACUGGGUUUAAUACCGUAUACGCCCUUCGGGGGAAAGAUUUAUCGGAGAAGGAUCGGCCCGCGUUAGAUUAGGUAGUUGGUGGGGUAAUGGCCUACCAAGCCUACGAUCUAUAGCUGGUUUGAGAGGAUGAUCAGCCACACUGGGACUGAGACACGGCCCAGACUCCUACGGGAGGCAGCAGUGGGGAAUCUUAGACAAUGGGGGCAACCCUGAUCUAGCCAUGCCGCGUGAGUGAUGAAGGCCUUAGGGUCGUAAAGCUCUUUCGCUGGGGAAGAUAAUGACUGUACCCAGUAAAGAAACCCCGGCUAACUCCGUGCCAGCAGCCGCGGUAAUACGGAGGGGGUUAGCGUUGUUCGGAAUUACUGGGCGUAAAGCGCGCGUAGGCGGAUUGGAAAGUUGGGGGUGAAAUCCCGGGGCUCAACCUCGGAACUGCCUCCAAAACUCCCAGUCUUGAGUUCGAGAGAGGUGAGUGGAACUCCGAGUGUAGAGGUUCAAGUCGUAGAUUUUCAUACCCUCGUCGUCGUGAGUUUGAUCCCGGCGCAGGAUUAGAUACCCUGGUAGUCCUGAGUCUGAU